CAGCAGCCGCGGUAAUACGGAGGGUGCAAGCGUUAAUCGGAAUUACUGGGCGUAAAGCGCACGCAGGCGGUCUGUCAAGUCAGAUGUGAAAUCCCCGGGCUUAACCUGGGAACUGCAUUUGAAACUGGCAGGCUAGAGUCUUGUAGAGGGGGGUAGAAUUCCAGGUGUAGCGGUGAAAUGCGUAGAGAUCUGGAGGAAUACCGGUGGCGAAGGCGGCCCCCUGGACAAAGACUGACGCUCAGGUGCGAAAGCGUGGGGAGCAAACAGGAUUAGAUACCCGAGUAGUCCCUGUCUCUUAUAA
rnacentral:rRNA from 1 species